GUGGGGAAUAUUGGACAAUGGGCGAAAGCCUGAUCCAGCCAUGCCGCGUGUGUGAAGAAGGUCUUCGGAUUGUAAAGCACUUUAAGUUGGGAGGAAGGGCAGUAAGUUAAUACCUUGCUGUUUUGACGUUACCGACAGAAUAAGCACCGGCUAACUUCGUGCCAGCAGCCGCGGUAAUACGAAGGGUGCAAGCGUUAAUCGGAAUUACUGGGCGUAAAGCGCGCGUAGGUGGUUUUGUAAGUUGGAGGUGAAAUCCCCGGGCUCAACCUGGGAACUGCCUCCAAAACUGCAGGACUAGAGUACGGUAGAGGGUAGUGGAAUUUCCUGUGUAGCGGUGAAAUGCGUAGAUAUAGGAAGGAACACCAGUGGCGAAGGCGACUACCUGGACUGAUACUGACACUGAGGUGCGAAAGCGUGGGGAGCAAACAGGAUUAGAUACCCCGGUAGUCC
rnacentral:rRNA from 1 species